UACGUAGGGGGCGAGCGUUGUCCGGAUUCAUUGGGCGUAAAGCGCGCGUAGGCGGCCGCCUAAGCGGAACCUCUAACCCCGGGGCUCAACCUCGGGCCGGGUUCCGGACUGGGCGGCUCGAGUGCGGUAGAGGAGAGCGGAAUUCCCGGUGUAGCGGUGGAAUGCGCAGAUAUCGGGAAGAACACCGAUGGCGAAGGCAGCUCUCUGGGCCGUCACUGACGCUGAGGCGCGAAAGCUGGGGGAGCGAACAGG
rnacentral:rRNA from 1 species